AUCCAGACAUAAAUGUGCUGUUACGCAGCCGGACGGAGACUCGCAUCCAGGACGCGGAGCUCGUAGUCGGGAAAACCCCUCGGUGGCUCCGUUCCUAAGUGCGCACUUUUGGAUGAAGCGUGUCGGUUCAGGGGUUUUUCCCCCAGUUUUGAGGGGAAGAAAGACUCUCCUAGUUUUUUUUUUUCCAUUAAUAUCAAUUAUUACAAUUAUGUGUAAUAUGGAGACGAUCAUUUCGCAGGUAUGUGUUGUAUUUCGUACGAUGUUAUAAUUUUUCUCACUGCAAUUAAUUCUGAGAGGACUUGAAAGAAAAUAUUUGCUUUAGUCAAAGUGGUUUUGGGGGAAAUAGAAACCGUAAUGAGUUUUUUUCUUUUUGAUAAUGCCUCCAAAGUCCAGCAAGGUCGAACAAAACCAGGGCAGUUUUUUUUCUGUUUGCCUAAUUCAGACAGAGCUGAUUAUGUUGGGUUACUUUUUAUUUACGACCAGAACUCACACACAAAAACUUGCGUAAUGUUUUUGUCGCUCCCAACCACUUAAAUGUGUCUGCCCACAUCUUUUGUAUUUAAUCUGUUAAAUAACAAUAAGCCAGAUGGAUGGAUGGAUUUCUUUCUUCAACGUUGAGUUUAUCCUUUGGGGCUGAUCCAACUAUUUAAAGUUGAUUCCAUUAAGUUCAUCGGCUCCAGUCGGGUGAUGGUUAUGCAGGGUUACGAGUUUUGUAUUAAAUCACACGGUAACACUGUAGCUGCCGAGUUCUGUCUCACACACACACACACACACACACACACACACACACACAGACACACGUACGCCCACACACACACACAUCAAAAGCUUCUGGCAACACUGUCUCCAUAACGCAUCCACGCCGGAUGACACGCGUCUUUUUCGGGUUCCUUUUUUUUACAUUUCUGAUUUCUGGACAAAAGGUGACGUUCUCAAUUCACAUGUGAAUGAACCACAUUCCCACCAUACAGGCCGUUUAUUAUCUCCUCGUUUUUACGGUAAUAGGACAAUUUCAUUUUACUCUUAAUUUAUGAAACACGGUGCUUAACACUGUGAGGUCAAGCCACAUAUUAACAUGUGAAUGUACACUUUAGCUGCAGAAAAUACGCUUCUGUUCCGCUGCGAUGCACAACUGAGCGCCUCCUCAACACACAAUCAUUGGGAUGUUGUGAUGAUUUUAUUGUGGUGACAAAGCGCAAUAAGUAAUUAUCCCAAAAGCCUAAUAAAAACCUCAUUUACGUGAUGUUAGAUAUUAUAAUUCGCUGCAGCUACAUUAUGUCACUCGGAUCAUACUCGCGUGAUUUCGCAUAGGCGGUUAUUGGACACGUGACUUGUUUACCGCGUUGAAGGUGAUACGGCAGGUUGUUCGGUUGCGGCCAGCGACACGCAGCCUUAACGCGAAUUAAAUUGUUGUUGGGUGAGUUUUCUUUGGAGAGAAGAUCCAGAUGUGAUCUGAUUAGGUGUAAUCCCUCUCCAUCGAUAUGAGCCCAAAACACAGCUCAGAAACAGUCCGCGAGAGGGGAGAUAUUCAGUGUUUUCCUCAUGACUGAUAAAGUUGUUUUCCUCUUUCUUUGGAGUGAACAGCAGUUGCGUCACCGGAUCACGUCAACGGUUUUACUGUUAUGAGUUAUGCAAAUCACUUUUUCUUGUUGCAAAACAACAACCAAUUAACAUGUCGGCGGAUGAAUCGCCGAAGGUCAGCUGACCCGUAGAAACGUGCCCGUCUUUGGCGUUUUCUAAUUCAAGAGGAGGCGGUGUGGGAAUAUUGGGAGACGCGUCACGUGUCGGGCACACGAUACGUCGAGUAUCGACGUUUUUACUGUGAUUCAACCCUCCGCACGCAAACUCCACUGCGUGUAAACUUUGCAAACACGCGCGCUAUGCGGGCUGUUCGUGUCCAACUGGUCAAAUUAAAGGCCUCCACCUGCGUGUUUUGCAGGGCCCAUAAAUAGAUGCCGGGCCUUUCAUCUCCCCCCGUACGGCCUCGGUGGUUACAGCCGGAUCCACGGCGGUGCGACGGGCGCUGCGUUUGGAGAAGGACGAGGACGUUGUUUUCCGUCUCCUUCGUGUCGAGGGUUUCACUUUUGUUCACGACCCGCGGUGAGCGCGUAUCUGUCGGGCCGAUCGGAAGCAGCAGCAUCUGUCCGGAAAAGGUCACGUGUCCACUCGACUUCCGACUCCAUCCCGUCCUCUUCUUCUCCCACGCGGUUGUGGGGCGCUGAGGUUGUUUGUCUGAUAUUUACAGUGUGUUGGCCACCAAAAGGGGGUUUGGGAGGUGGGU
ensembl:lncRNA